rnacentral:rRNA from 1 species
UACAGAGGUGCCGAGCGUUAGGCGGAAUCACUGGGCUUAAAGCGUGUGUAGGCGGAUGCCUAAGUACCUUGUGAAAUCCCACGGCUUAACCGUGGAACUGCUCGGUAUACUGGGUGUCUUGAGCCACUUAGGGGCUACCGGAACAAAUGGUGGAGCGGUGAAAUGCGUAGAUAUCAGGAGGAACACCUGUGGCGAAAGCGGCUCACUGGACCAUAACUGACGCUGAUGCACGAAAGCUAGGGGAGCAAACAGG